UUGAUUUAAAAUAAUGAUAAAGCUGUUUUUUUAUGUAUUUGUAUAUAUUAUCCUCUACCGUGUUUAAGAAGAAGAGAAUAAUGAAGCUUUUUAUGAAAUAAUAUUUGGGUUUAUUUUAUUUUAUUUUCUCCUCACAGAUUCAAAUUUACGUCAACGUCCGUUACGUUGGUGACGUCACCGCGAGCGCGAGAAGUCGAAGUGAGGAGCAGAAAGCGGUGUUAGUGUUAGUUCUGGCCCGUUUGGACCCAAACUAAAGUGAGUUUAUUCGGUUCUGUGUAACCGAACCCGUUAUGUUUUGUGCUGUAUUGUGUGUAUGUGUGUAGUUAACGGUGUUAACACCUGUGUUUCAGGUGUAUCAGUAUGAAGCAGGCGGUGACGGCGCACUGAUUCACUCUCGGAGCUCGGUUCACUAAUGACCGAAUCACCGAGGAACCGACCAAAGAUAACUCACACCCGCACGGAGAAGAAGAACAAGAGGAGGAGAAGAUGAGCUGGAGUGGGGCAAAGAGAACUGCAUUCAGAUCAAACGGAUACGAGAGGUGGCCGAGUUGUUUGAGGAUCUGAAGAAUCGAGCGUCACAAUUCAACAUGCACAUCAGCGAAACUUCUCCCUCUGACUACACCAGCGUGCACACACAGAAAUUCAUAGUGCAGGUGGCGAUUGCAGGCGCAUUUUAUCUGAACUGCUUCCUCCAGGGAACUGUGGACGAGGAGCUCGCCUCCAAGGAGCUCUAUGGAAACGACCCCAGGACCACCGUAGUGGCGUGUAAUCUCCCUCCAUUUGCAUUCCUCUACUAUAAACAGCUCCAGUCUCUCUUCAGACACUGUGGUUAAAUCAAAUCCAUCUCCUUUGACAGCUCCAGGUGUGUGAGACACCACUGUGUGUGUGUGUGUUUAAUUGUGAUUUUCUAUAAAUAUGUAUUGUGGGUCUGUGUGUAUCAGGGCCUAUGUAGAGUUCUACUGCUCGUCAAUGAGAGGUUCUGGCGUUCUCCCAGAGGUCUCUCUGUCUCUCCUCCUCGCGCAGCAGAGACUUCCUCUCCAUCUCAAUGUUUAACCCGCUGGAGAGGUGGAGACUUGGGCAGGGGGGUAGUGUAUCUCACACCUCAGAUGUACACGGUACACACACACACACACACACACACACACACUGCAGCGAGCAUCAUCAGAUGAGUCAUAGUUACAUUUUAAGUGAGAGUAGUCAUGUGACCACAUCCCCUAGACAGUGUGAUGUUUAGAUGAUGUUCUGUACAUUAGUGCUGUUCUGUUACAGGUCUCUCUCUCUGUGUCUCUCUCACUCACUGUGUGUGUGUCUCUCUCUCAGG